UACAGAGGGUGCGAGCGUUAAUCGGAUUUACUGGGCGUAAAGCGUGCGUAGGUGGCCAAUUAAGUCAAAUGUGAAAUCCCCGAGCUUAACUUGGGAAUUGCAUUCGAUACUGGUUGGCUAGAGUAUGGGAAGAGGAUGGUAGAAUUCCAGGUGUAGCGGUGAAAUGCGUAGAGAUCUGGAGGAAUACCGAUGGCGAAGGCAGCCAUCUGGCCUAAUACUGACACUGAGGCACGAAAGCAUGGGGAGCAAACAGG
rnacentral:rRNA from 1 species